UGAGCAAUCUGCCCUUCUCAUCGGAAUAAGCGUUGGAAACGACGUCUAAUGCCGAAUACGACCUCCUUUCGCAUGAUCGGAGGUGGAAAGCUCCGGCGGAGAAGGAUGAGCUAGCGGCCUAUCAGCUAGUUGGUGUGGGUAAUGGCCCACCAAGGCGACGACGGGUAGCCGGCCUGAGAGGGUGACCGGCCACACUGGGACUGAGACACGGCCCAGACUCCUACGGGAGCAG
rnacentral:rRNA from 1 species